GCUCUCUGCAGCCUCUUUCUAGAUCUAGCUGAGUGUAAAUCACCACAGUUCUUCUUGAGAAGGUGAGUGGAGUCUAUGUCUUCUCUGCUAGCACAGCUGAAUCAACAUUGUAUACAAGGCUGUGUGCAUGAGUCUUCUUUGUGCUUUCCUUCUAGAUGGAGUUUUGAGUGUUUUUCUUCAUAUACUCAAGAGAUAGAAGGCAUAACCCUCAUGUGGAAGGAUCUGUAGACAACAGCUUUGUUGUAUUUUUAAGAAUCACAGAAUCUCAAGGACUGGAAGGGGUCUUGAAAGAUUGUGUAGUCCAACCCCGUGCCAGAGCAGGGCCACCUAGAGUAGGUCACUGAGGAACUGGUCCAUACAAGUUUUAAAUGUUUCCAGAGAAGGAGAGUCAACAACCCAUCUGGGCAGCCUGUUCCAGUGCUCUGUCACCCUCACAGUGAAGCAAUUCUUCCUUGUUCCUUUGGAACUUCUUUUGUUCCAGCUUGUACCCAUCGCCCCGUGCUCAGUGAUUGGACAACACUGAGAAGAGCCUACCUUCAUCCUCCUGACACCUGCCCUUUAUGUAUUUGUAAACAUUAAUGAGGUCACCCCUCAGUCUCCUCCAAGCUCAAGAGCCCCAGGUCCCUCAGCCUUUCAUCACAAGGGAGAUGCUCCACUCCACCACCUUUGUGGUGCUGCGCUGAACUGUCUCCAGUACCUCCCUGUGCUUCUUGAACUGAGUGGCCCAGAACUGGGCAGAGGCAGAGUAGAUGAGCUUUGCUCCAUUUCUGCAGUAUGACUAUUUAUAAAAGGGGGCAGCUGCCACUGAUUGUGCUAUAGAGGUGAAACAAACAAACAAACAAAAAACAGCCCCAAAAUAGAAUUUACUUUCACAGGCCACACAAUUCUGCUUGAUGGGUGCAAAGAACACUACUCUUUAUCAGCAAGAGCCUGCUGGGGAUGAACUACACAGGCACUGAGCUCUGCAUUCCUGGGCUGCAUGUGUCAGAGAUGCUCAAGUCCCUAGCACCUGGGUCCCUGCAGCUGCCAUUGAACAUGAGGAUCGAGAAUAACAACCUUGAGAGGAAUUCAGGCUUCUAAAUCCUGCUUUGAGUGUCCUUGGCUUAAGUAGUUCUGUGGAAAUGUGUUUUUUACUUUCCUUCUGCAUUUUUGCUUCAGCCAACAUUUUUAGGAUGCAGGAGUAGUUAUACAGGUCCUAGACCUGCAAGGGAAACAAUCGGUGAGCAGAAGAUUUAAUAUUUUAAGAGUCACUCGAGAGGGCAUCGGCAGCUGGCACUCGGCCACAAACAGGAAAAGCUGAGCUGGAGUGCCCGGAGGAGGGGAUGAAGCACGUCCAUCUGGGCCGGUGAGAAGCCGGGAGCCGGAGAUUCUGAACAAACAGCAAGUAAGAAACCACAGGGAAACUUCAAGCUGCCAUCAAUUUUCGGUCCCGAAGUGGAGCAGUUGCAGAGAG